GGACGAACGCUGGCGGCGUGCCUAAUACAUGCAAGUCGAGCGGACGGAUGGGAGCUUGCUCCCAGACCGUCAGCGGCGGACGGGUGAGUAACACGUGGGCAACCUGCCUGUAAGACUGGGAUAACUCCGGGAAACCGGGGCUAAUACCGGAUAACUCUUUCCCUCACAUGAGGGAAAGCUGAAAGAUGGCAUCUCGCUAUCACUUACAGAUGGGCCCGCGGCGCAUUAGCUAGUUGGUGAGGUAACGGCUCACCAAGGCGACGAUGCGUAGCCGACCUGAGAGGGUGAUCGGCCACACUGGGACUGAGACACGGCCCAGACUCCUACGGGAGGCAGCAGUAGGGAAUCUUCCGCAAUGGACGAAAGUCUGACGGAGCAACGCCGCGUGAGUGAUGAAGGUUUUCGGAUCGUAAAACUCUGUUGUCAGGGAAGAACAAGUACCGGAGUAACUGCCGGUACCUUGACGGUACCUGACCAGAAAGCCACGGCUAACUACGUG
rnacentral:rRNA from 1 species